rnacentral:rRNA from 1 species
AUUGAACGCUGGCGGCAGGCCUAACACAUGCAAGUCGAACGAGUGGCGGACGGGUGAGUAAUGUCUGGGAAACUGCCCGAUGGAGGGGGAUAACUACUGGAAACGGUAGCUAAUACCGCAUACCAUCGGAUUGGCCAAGAUGGGAUUCGCCAGGAGGUGGGGUAUUGGCUCACCUAGGCAACGAUCCCUAGCUGGUCUGAGAGGAUGACCAGCCACACUGGAACUGGGACACGGUCCAGACUCCUACGGGAGGCAGCAGUGGGGAAUAUUGCACAAUGGGCGCAAGCCUGAUGCAGCCAUGCCGCGUGUAUGAAGAAGGCCUUCGGGUUGUAAAGUACUUUCAGCGGGGAGGCGUUACUCGCAGAAGAAGCACCGGCUAACUCCGUGCCAGCAGCCGCGGUAAUUC